CGCCGAGGCUAGCGGAACGCGAAUCUGGCUGGACUCCUCCUGGCGCGUUUCCAGCUCUGGAGGUCCUAAACUCGCUCUGACUCGAAAGGGAGAAGCCCUCCUAGCAGGGUAACCUGCAUGUUACCAGCUGAAGAGAGACAAAACUCAGCAUGGAGCACACACAGCAACAUCCCAACAGCCUAUCUCAGAGAAGCCAUGAAGACAGGAGGCCGCCACUCAUUACCAAGGCCCUUUCCAGCCCCAGGUCUGGGAGCAGAUCUUUCAAGUCUACACAUCUAGGGAUCUCUGGAAGGUCCUCUUCAGUCUCUGCUCUCUUAUCUUUUAUCACCCGCUCACAUACUGUAUACUUUAUUUUUUAUUAUUAUUUUUGGGAUGAAGUUUCCUUUUUGUUGCCCAGGCUGGAGUGCAAUGGCACAGUCUUGGCUCACUGCAACCUCCACCUUCUGGGUUCAAGCCAUUUUCUUGCCUCAGCCUCCCAAGUAGCUGAGAUUACAGGUGCCAGCCACCAUGCCCUGCUAAUUUUUUUGUUUUUUGUAUUUUUAGAAGAGACAAGGUUUCACCAUGUUGGCCACGCUGGUCUCGAACUCCUAACCUCAGGUGAUCUGCCCACCUCAGCCUCCCAAAGUGCUGGGCUCGCCCCUGUGUACUUUACCUAUUUAUCCAGUUUCUCUCUCCUCCACUCUAAUGUGAGCUUGCCACAGACCGGGAUUUCUAUCAGUCUUGUUCACUGCUAUAUACUCACUCAUAGGUAUGUAUCCAGUUCCUAGAACAGUGGUUGGCACAUGAUAGGUGCCCAGUAAACAUUUGUUGAGUAAA